rnacentral:rRNA from 1 species
AACCUCCGCAAUGUGAGAAAUCGCGACGGGGGGAUCCCAAGUGCCAUUCUUAACGGGAUGGCUUUUCAUUAGUGUAAAAAGCUUUUGGAAUAAGAGCUGGGCAAGACCGGUGCCAGCCGCCGCGGUAACACCGGCAGCUCUAGUGGUAGCAAUUUUUAUUGGGCCUAAAGCGUCCGUAGCCGGUUUAAUAAGUCUCUGGUGAAAUCCUGUAGCUUAACUGUGGGAAUUGCUGGAGAUACUAUUAGACUUGAGACCGGGAGAGGUUAGAGGUACUCCCAGGGUAGAGGUGAAAUUCUGUAAUCCUGGGAGGACCGCCUGUUGCGAAGGCGUCUAACUGGAACGGUUCUGACGGUGAGGGACGAAAGUUAGGGGCGCGAACCGGAUUAGAUACCCGGGUAGUCCUAACUGUAAACGAUGCGGACUUGGUGUUGAGGUGGCUUUGAGCUGCUCCAGUGCCGAAGGGAAGCUGUUAAGUCCGCCGCCUGGGAAGUACGGUCGCAAGACUGAAACUUAAAGGAAUU